UACGUAGGGGGCAAGCGUUGUCCGGAUUUAUUGGGCGUAAAGAGCGUGUAGGCGGUCAGGUAGGUCCGUUGUGAAAACUCGAGGCUCAACCUCGAGACGCCGAUGGAAACCAUCUGACUAGAGUCCGGAAGAGGAGAGUGGAAUUCCUGGUGUAGCGGUGAAAUGCGCAGAUAUCAGGAAGAACACCCGUGGCGAAGGCGGCUCUCUGGACGGUACUGACGCUGAGACGCGAAAGCGUGGGGAGCAACAGG
rnacentral:rRNA from 1 species